GACGAACGCUGGCGGCAUGCCUAAUACAUGCAAGUCGAGCGAACAGAUGGAGUGCUUGCACUUCUGACGUUAGCGGCGAACGGGUGAGUAACACGUAAGGAAUCUACCUAUAAGCGGGGGAUAACAUUCGGAAACGGGUGCUAAUACCGCAUAAUAUCUUCUUCCGCAUGGAAGAAGAUUGAAAGACGGCUCUGCUGUCACUUAUAGAUGACCUUGCGGUGCAUUAGUUAGUUGGUGGGGUAAUGGCCUACCAAGACGAUGAUGCAUAGCCGACCUGGGAGGGGGAUCGGCCACAUUGGGACUGAGGCACGGCCCAAGCUCCUACGGGAGGCAGCAGUAGGGAAUCUUCCGCAAUGGGCGAAAGCCUGACGGAGCAAUGCCGCGUGAGUGAAGAAGGCCUUCGGGUCGUAAAACUCUGUUAUAAGAGAAGAACAAAUUGUAGAGUAACUGCUACAGUCUUGACGGUAUCUUAUCAGAAAGCCACGGCUAACUACGUGCCAGCCGCCGCCGUAA
rnacentral:rRNA from 1 species